AAGUCGUAACAAGGUUUCCGUAGGUGAACCUGCGGAAGGAUCAUUACAAAUCCAUCCACGUCUCACUCACCCUGAGACCACGUUGAAUUGUUCCCCAUCAUCCCUCUCUUCUCUUCUCUUCUCUCUCUCUUUGCUUGUUGGCGCGCGCAUGCGCAUGGCCCCCCUUGUGUGGGGCCGUGCCGUCGUCGUGACAGCGCACGGGAGAGAGCGGAGGGGGGGAGGAGGGACCUUCACACCAGUGAUCAUGUCGCUCAUGUGUAUAUUACCUUUGAGAACCAAAAACAACUUAUAACAAUGGAUCUCUAGGCUCUU
rnacentral:misc_RNA from 1 species